rnacentral:rRNA from 1 species
CAAUAGACUACCGGGUAGUCCACGCAGUAAACGAUGCAGACUAGGCGUGGGGGGACUUGACCCCCUCCGUGCCGAAGCCAACGCGUGAAGUCUGCCGCCUGGGGAGUACGGCCGCAAGGCUAAAACUCAAAGGAAUUGACGGGGGGCCCGCACAAGCGGCGGAGCGUGCGGUUUUAAUUCGACGCAACGCGCAGAACCUUACCAGGGCUUGACAUGCUCCUGCAGAGCCGUGAAAGCGGUUGGCCUUCGAGGGUGGAGCACAGGUGCUGCAUGGCUGUCGUCAGCUCGUGUCGUGAGAUGUUGGGUUAAGUCCCGCAACGAGCGCACCCCCGUGGCUAGUUGCCGAUGUUUCUAGCCAGACUGCCGGUAGCAAGCCGGAGGAAGGUGGGGAUGAUGUCAAGUCAGCAUGGCCCUUACGUCCUGGGCUACACGCACGCUACAAUGGCCGGGACAAUGGGCUGCCAAACCGCAAGGUGGAGCGAAUCCCACAAACCCGGUCUCAGUUCAGAUCGCGGGCUGCAACUCGCCC